rnacentral:piRNA from 1 species
UCAAUGUAUUAUCAGGAAACGUGUCU